ACAUAAUAAAAUAUGACUAUAUACCAUCAUAACAUCAAAGUACAAUCAAUCCCUCAUGUGGGACAUGCUCUCCAUGAGCUAUCAAAUACAAGAUAUGAAUGAUAAUCCAUGGACAAUGCCCACACUAGGCCACAAGAAUAUUACAAUUUCUCAAAGUACAUUAACAUGUUUUCUAAACAAAAGUAAACUAAAUGGCAAUCCAUAUGCCUCACGAAUUAGGAUAACCCUCGGUACC
rnacentral:lncRNA from 1 species